rnacentral:rRNA from 1 species
AGAGUUUGAUCCUGGCUCAGGAUGAACGCUAGCUACAGGCUUAACACAUGCAAGUCGAGGGGCAGCAUGGUCUUAGCUUGCUAAGGCCGAUGGCGACCGGCGCACGGGUGAGUAACACGUAUCCAACCUGCCGUCUACUCUUGGACAGCCUUCUGAAAGGAAGAUUAAUACAAGAUGGCAUCAUGAGUCCGCAUGUUCACAUGAUUAAAGGUAUUCCGGUAGACGAUGGGGAUGCGUUCCAUUAGAUAGUAGGCGGGGUAACGGCCCACCUAGUCUUCGAUGGAUAGGGGUUCUGAGAGGAAGGUCCCCCACAUUGGAACUGAGACACGGUCCAAACUCCUACGGGAGGCAGCAGUGAGGAAUAUUGGUCAAUGGGCGAGAGCCUGAACCAGCCAAGUAGCGUGAAGGAUGACUGCCCUAUGGGUUGUAAACUUCUUUUAUACGGGAAUAAAGUGAGGCACGCGUGCCUUUUUGUAUGUACCGUAUGAAUAAGGAUCGGCUAACUCCGUGCCAGCAGCCGCGGUAAUACGGAGGAUCCGAGCGUUAUCCGGAUUUAUUGGGUUUAAAGGGAGCGUAGAUGGAUGUUUAAGUCAGUUGUGAAAGUUUGCGGCUCAACCGUAAAAUUGCAGUUGAUACUGGAUAUCUUGAGUGCAGUUGAGGCAGGCGGAAUUCGUGGUGUAGCGGUGAAAUGCUUAGAUAUCACGAAGAACUCCGAUUGCGAAGGCAGCCUGCUGGACUGUAACUGACGCUGAUGCUCGAAAGUGUGGGUAUCAAACAGGAUUAGAUACCCUGGUAGUCCACACAGUAAACGAUGAAUACUCGCUGUUUGCGAUAUACAGUAAGCGGCCAAGCGAAAGCGUUAAGUAUUCCACCUGGGGAGUACGCCGGCAACGGUGAAACUCAAAGGAAUUGACGGGGGCCCGCACAAGCGGAGGAACAUGUGGUUUAA